rnacentral:lncRNA from 1 species
AUGUUCUUUUUUAUCUCAUCCCUCCUCAGCGAAUCCAUGUAUCCAACACAAAGGUAUUUCUCUCACACUGGUCUCACAUGGGAACCAUUCUCUUUAUUUGCCUUUGCUGCACAGAGGCCGGGAGGGAGGCUGAUCCUUCCCUGGGUUACCGUGAUACACAGCCUCACCUGCAGUGCCCUUUAUUCCAGCAUCCAUCCCCAAUCUGGCUUGGGGGCCUGCUCCUGCCUUGAAGUCACAGUCAGGCUGCAAAGUCAGAAGUUUGGAUUAAGCAAUGCCUCGCUUCCUGCCAGGGAGAGGCUAACAACCAGGCUGCGGAGGCAGUCGGGGACACAGCAGGCAUGCCCUGGCAGCGGUGGCUGGCCCCAUCUCCCACCCCCAGCCCAUCAUUCUCGAGGAGCCUGCCCUGGAUGUAGGCAGCCUGGCCCACACCCUGCUGUCUUCCCCUGCAGCCCGGCCUUGGCUUUUUUGGCUUUACCUGCUGGUAAAAUGAGAAAUUACCUCUGUCUCUGGUGCCCCAGCCCCAGUGUGAGCUGCACAGCUCCUGCAAGCACAAAGAAGCAAGAAACGCAGCGCGGCCCAAGCUGCAAUGUGGGCUGUGCUGGGCCCUGGCAGAUCCUUCUGCUGCCCCCCUCCCCCGAUGGGGAUGGAAGCUCUUCUUCCCUGUUUUUUCAUUUUCAGGCAUCUCCAUGUCUCCUUCCAACUCCUCCCACACACAGCGGAGGAACUGCCCACAAACAUGUGCAAAACUACUUAAUUACUCCCGAACCAGCUGCGCUGCCGCUUGCUGCGGGUGCUGAUGGCUGUGCUGACCAUGCCAACUUUGCCCCCUCUCUUCUGCCCAUCUGUGCCCAUCACCUGCCCGGCCUGCAGGCUCUGGAUGCUCCACAUCCUGCAGUGGUGCGUGCGUGGCACCUGGGGUGGUGGCAAACACAGCCCUGUGUGUGGCGGGCUGAGGGGUUCAGCCCUUGCUUGCCCGCUGCUGGAUGCCUUGGGUUUCAUUGCUGGGUAUUGUAG